GAUAUCAGGGUCAAAAUCCUUGUUCCACGGGAAACUUGCUUACAAGUCGGACAAUGGUCUGAUGACCCACCCCGACAUGAGCAAGAAGUGGAGCAAAGCUCCUUGAAAUUGCGAAUGACGGGCAGGAUUGUGUGAGUGCGAAGCACGUAACAAUCCGUGAUAUC
rnacentral:sRNA from 1 species